rnacentral:rRNA from 1 species
AACUGCGAAUGGCUCAUUAAAUCAGUUAUCGUUUAUUUGAUAGUACCUUACUACUUGGAUAACCGUGGUAAUUCUAGAGCUAAUACAUGCUAAAAACCUCGACUUUUGAAGGGGUGUAUUUAUUAGAUAAAAAACCAAUGCCCUUUGGGGCUUUUUGGUGAUUCAUGAUAACUUAACGAAUCGCAUGGCCUUGCGCCGGCGAUGGUUCAUUCAAAUUUCUGCCCUAUCAACUUUCGAUGGUAGGAUAGUGGCCUACCAUGGUUUCAACGGGUAACGGGGAAUUAGGGUUCGAUUCCGGAGAGGGAGCCUGAGAAACGGCUACCACAUCCAAGGAAGGCAGCAGGCGCGCAAAUUACCCAAUCCCGACACGGGGAGGUAGUGACAAUAAAUACUGAUACAGGGCUCUUUUGGGUCUUGUAAUUGGAAUGAGUACAAUUUAAAUCCCUUAACGAGGAACAAUUGGAGGGCAAGUCUGGUGCCAGCAGCCGCGGUAAUUCCAGCUCCAAUAGCGUAUAUUAAAGUUGUUGCAGUUAAAAAGCUCGUAGUUGAACCUUGGGCCUGGCUGGCCGGUCCGCCUCACCGCGUGCACUGGUUCGGCCGGGCCUUUCCUUCUGGGAAGCCGCAUGCCCUUCACUGGGUGUGUUGGGGAACCAGGACUUUUACUUUGAAAAAAUUAGAGUGUUCAAAGCAGGCCUUUGCUCGAAUACAUUAGCAUGGAAUAAUAGAAUAGGACGUGCGGUCCUAUUUUGUUGGUUUCUAGGACCGCCGUAAUGAUUAAUAGGGAUAGUCGGGGGCAUCAGUAUUCAAUUGUCAGAGGUGAAAUUCUUGGAUUUAUUGAAGACUAACUACUGCGAAAGCAUUUGCCAAGGAUGUUUUCAUUAAUCAGUGAACGAAAGUUAGGGGAUCGAAGACGAUCAGAUACCGUCGUAGUCUUAACCGUAAACUAUGCCGACUAGGGAUCGGGCGAUGUUAUUAUUUUGACUCGCUCGGCACCUUACGAGAAAUCAAAGUCUUUGG